GACCCUUAUAUAUCCAUUGAUCAGUUUGCAUGUCCAUUUUUCGGUAUCCUAAUGAAAAUAUGUGAGCUAUGAGGGAGUCCGGAUAUUCAUUGGCCAAUGAAAAACAGCCACAUGUCCUUCCUUUUCCCUCUCCUCUCUCUUUUCCCAACCACAGUACACACAUAUUCAACUGACAUUUGCAGUGUCUCUUUUGGGCGUUUGCAUUGGAGAUGCCAUUAUCCUCUACGGCUCUACCACAACC
rnacentral:lncRNA from 1 species